rnacentral:rRNA from 1 species
CUUAACUAUAAGAAUUGUGCUGUUCUUAAGGUGGUUAGAGGAAAGGUUUCUGCCUCGGAACUGUUGACUCAACUCAGAGGGAUCUUCUGUAAGAACAAGGAAUGGCCGUGGCAGAUCAGAGAACUGGAGAGUAAGAAAUUCUUACUGAGAUUCCCACCAUGGAAAAAUGUAGAUGAUUUAAUUGAGUUUCCACCAUUUGAGCUACCUAUUGCUUGGGUGUCUGUCAAAAUAUGCGAAUGGGAAGGAAUGUUGGAUGAAUUUGGGGUACUAACCGAGGCUUGGGUACAGAUUGAAGGCAUUCCACCCAAGUGGUGUGCUUCGAAAGUCUUUGCCCAGAUCACAGCCUCUUUUGGGAUUUUGGUGGAUGUUGAUUGGAAUGGUAUUUUCAAAAGUUUUUGUGAAACUAUCCGAGUUAAAGUUGCUUGCAGAGAUCCGAGGAAAAUCCCUUUUGAGAGGCUGGUGGAGAUGAAAAAGAAACUCUAUCUGUUGUUCUUUACAGUGGAAGGUUUUGAG